UAUUUUGAUUCUGGGGAGUCAUCAGGGGAGAGCAGUGACAGUGAUGAACAACUGAGCGAGGAGGGAGCCCCCUCCGAGCUAAUCUGGAUGAGCUCUCUGAGCUCACUGUUCUUUGUGUGAGGUAGGGAUAAUAUUACCUACUGUACCCAUUAUAUAUAUUACUGGCUCAUUUGUUGGGGAAUUGGUUAGUUCUUCUACAUUGAAUAAACUCACAUAUCAAAUUCUCUUCUUAUUUAUUAAUAUGGAAAA